CGGGCGUUAAGUUGCAGGGUAUAGACCCGAAACCCGGUGAUCUAGCCAUGGGCAGGUUGAAGGUUGGGUAACACUAACUGGAGGACCGAACCGACUAAUGUUGAAAAAUUAGCGGAUGACCUGUGGCUGGGGGUGAAAGGCCAAUCAAACCGGGAGAUAGCUGGUUCUCCCCGAAAGCUAUUUAGGUAGCGCCUCGUGAAUUCAUCUCCGGGGGUAGAGCACUGUUUCGGCUAGGGGGCCAUCCCGGCUUACCAACCCGAUGCAAACUGCGAAUACCGGAGAAUGUUAUCACGGGAGACACACGGCGGGUGCUAACGUCCGUCGUGAAGAGGGAAACAACCCAGACCGCCAGCUAAGGUCCCAAAGUCAUGGUUAAGUGGGAAACGAUGUGGGAAGGCCCAGACAGCCAGGAUGUUGGCUUAGAAGCAGCCAUCAUUUAAAGAAAGCGUAAUAGCUCACUGGUCGAGUCGGCCUGCGCGGAAGAUGUAACGGGGCUAAACCAUGCACCGAAGCUGCGGCAGCGACACUGUGUGU
rnacentral:rRNA from 1 species